AAUACUCUGCCCAGACAAACACUGCUGUUACUGCAGGAAUCAUCAGUGGGACAGUUCUGGGAAUUAUACUGAUUGUCAGUGUAAGCUUCCUAGUCUACAAGCGAUGUGUCCCUCCUGUCACAGAGGAGAUGACAGGGUCCCCCAGUAUCGAACAGCAUUCAUAUGCCACAUAUGAUAACGUGCUGGACCUGGCAAUGAAUCAGAAGUCAACAGAAGAAGCUUUAUAUAUG